UACGUAGGGGGCUAGCGUUGUCCGGAAUCAUUGGGCGUAAAGAGCGUGUAGGCGGCCCGGUAAGUCCGCUGUAAAAGUCAAAGGCUCAACCUUUGAAUGUCAGUGGAUACUGCCGGGCUAGAGUCCGGAAGAGGCGAGUGGAACUCCUGGUGUAGCGGUGGAAUGCGCAGAUAUCAGGAAGAACACCCGUGGCGAAGGCGGUUCUCUGGGACGGUACUGACGCUGAGACGCGAAAGCGUGGGGAGCGAACAGG
rnacentral:rRNA from 1 species